UACGUAGGUGGCAAGCGUUGUCCGGAUUUACUGGGCGUAAAGAGCGCGCAGGCGGUCGUACAAGUCGCGUGUGAAAGCCCCUGGCUCAACUGGGGAGGGUCACGCGAUACUGUUCGACUUGAAGGCAGGAGAGGGAAGUGGAAUCCCCGGUGUAGUGGUGAAAUGCGUAGAUAUCAGGAGGAAUACCGGUGGCGAAAGCGACUCUCUGGACGGCAACUGACGCUGAGGCACGAAAGCGUGGGGAGCAAACAGG
rnacentral:rRNA from 1 species